rfam:Zootermopsis nevadensis contig16375, whole genome shotgun sequence.
UUCUGCUUCAAUUCCGUAGUGCAUUGCAGUAUCUGUUGUAUUCUGUAAUCAUUGCGGAGGUGAGGUGGAAGA